GAGUUUGAUCGUGGCUCAGGAUGAACGCUAGCGGCAGGCUUAACACAUGCAAGUCGAGGGGUAGAGGAAGCUUGCUUCCUUGAGACCGGCGCACGGGUGCGUAACGCGUAUGCAAUCUACCUUGUACAGGGGGAUAGCCCAGAGAAAUUUGGAUUAAUACCCCAUAGUGUAAUGAAAUGGCAUCAUUUUAUUACUAAAGUUCCAACGGUACAAGAUGAGCAUGCGUCCCAUUAGCUAGUUGGUGUGGUAACGGCAUACCAAGGCAACGAUGGGUAGGGGUCCUGAGAGGGAGAUCCCCCACACUGGUACUGAGACACGGACCAGACUCCUACGGGAGGCAGCAGUGAGGAAUAUUGGUCAAUGGGCGCAAGCCUGAACCAGCCAUGCCGCGUGCAGGAUGACGGUCCUAUGGAUUGUAAACUGCUUUUGUACAGGAAGAAACACUCCCUCGUGAGGGAACUUGACGGUACUGUAAGAAUAAGGAUCGGCUAACUCCGUGCCAG
rnacentral:rRNA from 1 species